rnacentral:snRNA from 1 species
UUGUUUAGCCUGGCAGGGGAAGCACCAUGAUCAAUCAGGUGGUUUUCCCAGGGCAGGUGAUUGGCUCUGAUAUGUCCUCCAUCAGAGGUCUAUAUUGAGCAGAUUCUUUUUGGUGUUGGGUGGUGGAACCGGAGCUUGCUCCAUCCACUC